CCCGUCCGUCGAGACCCAGGUGCUCGGGAAACGGGUGAGAAUCCCGUACUGCCCCCGCAACGGUAAUCGCGUGUCGACAGAAACCGCCGCUGCCCGAUCGCAAGCGGCCGCCACUGCCUCUCGUCGCGGCAACAUGUCGCCGAUGAACGCGGGAAGGCGUUUCUGUCCGGCGUCGGCAUGGCCGACCGCCAGCGCGUCAGUCCGGAGACCGGCCUGCGUCUCAGCACUGGC
rnacentral:ncRNA from 2 species